rnacentral:rRNA from 1 species
UACAGAGGUCUCAAGCGUUGUUCGGAUUCAUUGGGCGUAAAGGGUGCGUAGGUGGCGUCGUAAGUCAGGUGUGAAAUCUCGGGGCUCAACCCCGAAACUGCACUUGAUACUGCGAUGCUCGAGUACUGGAGAGGAGAUUGGAAUUUACGGUGUAGCAGUGAAAUGCGUAGAUAUCGUAAGGAAGACCAGUGGCGAAGGCGGGUCUCUGGACAGUUCCUGACGCUGAGGCACGAAGGCCAGGGGAGCAAACGGG